GGCUUUAAGAGGGAGCCACAGCAAGCCUCUGCUGCUGCUGUUCCAUCCCGGGGGGAACACGCAGUCAUGGUGGACAUUGAAUGUGCCCGUGAUGACUACUGAUGAUGCUUAGUUCUCAGUAGGGAUCCUUUUCUAGUGCUGUUUGUUGCCUGUGAUGAUUACUGAUGAUGUUUGGUUCUCAGUAUGGAUACUUUUCCGGUGCUGUGUGAAGAUUGCCUAGUGAUGCCCACAGGACGGUGAAUUCUACGGAACAUAAGCACAACGUGGACGUGGAUCGAUUGGCUACUGCGGCAAUGGUGUUCUGUGACAGUCCCUCUGAUGAGGGAUUAGCAAAAUGGAUUCAUUUAAAAACAGGAUAUUCAGGGCCGGCGCCGCGGCUCACUAGGCUAAUCCUCUGCCUAGCGGCGCCGGCACACCGGGUUCUAGUCCCGGUUGGGGCGCCGGAUUCUGUCCCGGUUGCCCCUCUUCCAGGCCAGCUCUCUGCUGUGGCCAGGGAGUGCAGUGGAGGAUGGCCCAGGUGCUUGGGCCCUGCACCCCAUGGGAGACCAGGAAAAGCACCUGGCUCCUGGCUCCUGCCAUCGGAUCAGCGCGGUGCGCCGGCCGCAGCGCACCGGCCGCGGCGGCCAUUGGAGGGUGAACCAAUGGCAAAGGAAGACCUUUCUCUCUGUCUCUCUCUCACUGUCCACUCUGCCUGUCAAAAAAACAAAAAAAAAAAAAAACAAAAAAAAACAGGAUAUUCAGGACCUGCCGCUAUGCACAGAUCCUCUCUUUGUUUCUACUCUAUUGUUGGACCACUUGUGCUUGGACUCCUGGAACUCCCCUGCAGUUCUUUGGCACCAUUACCAGCAGAUGGGGAUGGAAGACUCACUCAAGAUCUCGCCUCAAGAUACCUUCUCCUGUCCUACUAAUUAGCCAUGUUACAGAUGAAUUUGACAGUAAUUGGAUAAAAUGUAACUACUCACACAGGGAGUAAAAAAUAUAAAUAAGUGUACACUGAACACCUCCCACCCUGCAUUUGAAUAUUUCAUCUGAAGUAAAUGUUACCUGUUGUAAAGUUAAUAUUACUAUGUAAAAUGAAAAAUUGUGGUGACAAAGUGUCCAGACUACGGUAAAACAAUGUAAUUCUUCCAUCACUGAAUUCAAUAUUACCCAUUCUGUUUUUGUAUUAUGUACUAACUCUACCCCUAUUACUGAUAGGAAUGCUUGGACAGCUAAUGCUUGGUUUGCUUUACAAAAAAAUUAUAAAUCAAAAUACUCCACAAAUAGUUAGGAUUCCACAAACCUGCAAAAAUGUAACAAUUACAGAUAAUAGGAGGCUACUACUAUUAUGGCUAAAUGGUUACCCUCAGUGUUCCAUCCACAGGAAAAUUUGUUGUUUUAUCAAAGGAAAUGUUGCAAAUAUUUAAUGAAACCCAAAUCACUAAUUUUAGAGUAAUACAAAAUGUUAGCACAUUUGUUAAUUGGACUGUGUGCACCUUACUAUAUAUUCUAACUCAAAGGAAAAAAGCUCAAUGACAAAUAAGCCUCUGCUGCUGCUCUUCCAUCCUGGGGGAACACACAGUCAUGCUGAAUGAUGAACGUGCCCGUGGUGAUUACUGAUGAUGUUUGGUUCUCAGUAUGGAUACUUUUCCGGUGCUGUGUGAAGAUUGCCUAGUGGUAAAUUCCCGGGUUGAGUCCCUACUCUUGGGGACUCCCCCCCACCCCCGUUCUUUCUCCUUCUCUCUCUCUCUGCCCUGCUUCUUAAAAUUUGCUACUUAAAUAAACUACUUGUUUCUUUAUACUACAAGGCUUGCAGAGUAUUUCUUGUGGAUCGAACUUAAAGUAACUAAGUCUUUGCA